CCUACGGGGUGCAGCAGUGGGGAAUAUUGCACAAUGGGCGCAAGCCUGAUGCAGCCAUGCCGCGUGUAUGAAGAGGGCCUUCGGGUUGUAAAGUACUUUCAGCGAGGAGGAAGGCGUUAAGGUUAAUAACCUUGGCGAUUGACGUUACUCGCAGAAGAAGCACCGGCUAACUCCGUGCCAGCAGCCGCGGUAAUACGGAGGGUGCAAGCGUUAAUCGGAAUUACUGGGCGUAAAGCGCACGCAGGCGGUCUGUUAAGUCAGAUGUGAAAUCCCCGGGCUCAACCUGGGAACUGCAUUUGAAACUGGCAAGCUGGAGUCUCGUAGAGGGGGGUAGAAUUCCAGGUGUAGCGGUGAAAUGCGUAGAGAUCUGGAGGAAUACCGGUGGCGAAGGCGGCCCCCUGGACGAAGACUGACGCUCAGGUGCGAAAGCGUGGGGAGCAAACAGGAUUAGAUACCCGCGUAGUC
rnacentral:rRNA from 1 species